GAUGAACGCUAGCGACAGACUUAACACAUGCAAGUCGAGGGGCAGCACAAAAGUAGCAAUACUUUGGUGGCGACCGGCGCACGGGUGAGUAACGCGUAUGCAACCCACCUAUCAGAGGGGAAUAACCCGGCGAAAGUCGGACUAAUACCGCAUAAAACAGGGGCACCGCAUGGUGAUAUUUGUUAAAGAAAUUCGCUGAUAGAUGGGCAUGCGUUCCAUUAGGUAGUUGGUGAGGUAACGGCUCACCAAGCCGACGAUGGAUAGGGGAACUGAGAGGUUGGUCCCCCACACUGGUACUGAGACACGGACCAGACUCCUACGGGAGGCAGCAGUGAGGAAUAUUGGUCAAUGGGCGAGAGCCUGAACCAGCCAAGUCGCGUGAAGGAAGAAGGAUCUAUGGUUCGUAAACUUCUUUUGCAGGGGAAUAAAGUGCAGGACGUGUCCUGUUUUGUAUGUACCCUGAGAAUAAGGAUCGGCUAACUCCGUGCCAGCAGCCGCCGUAAGAC
rnacentral:rRNA from 1 species